GGCGGCGUGCUUAACACAUGCAAGUCGUACGAGAAAGCCGGCUUCGGCUGGUGAGUAAAGUGGCGCACGGGUGAGUAACGCGUGGAUAAUCUGCCCUUAAGUGUGGAAUAACGUACCGAAAGGUGCGCUAAUACCGCAUAAUGCCUGGCAACACAAGUUGUCCGGCCAAAGAAGGCCUCUGUUUACAAGCUUUCGCUUCAGGAUGAGUCCGCGUACCAUUAGCUAGUUGGCAGGGUAAUGGCCUACCAAGGCUACGAUGGUUAGCUGGUCUGAGAGGAUGGCCAGCCACACUGGAACUGAGACACGGUCCAGACUCCUACGGGAGGCAGCAGUGAGGAAUCUUGCGCAAUGGGGGAAACCCUGACGCAGCAACGCCGCGUGAGUGAGGAAGGCCUUCGGGUCGUAAAGCUCUGUCAGAUGGGAAGAAAUGGAUGGGGGCUAAUAUCGCCCAUCCUUGACGGUACCAUCAGAGGAAGCACCGGCUAACUCCGUG
rnacentral:rRNA from 1 species